CCGGGAGUUCAUCUCCAAGCUUCUGAUCAAGGAGAAGAGCUGGAGAAUAAGUGCGAGUAAAGCCCUGAAGCACCCCUGGCUGUCAGACCACCAGCUCCAUUCCAGGCUCAGCGCACAGAAGAGGAAGAACUGCUGCC